rnacentral:lncRNA from 1 species
AGGUGCCCCAGCGGUUCUGGGGAGCAAUUCCUCUCUUCAUAUGACCAUUUGGGAAACCCCCAGUGAGAUGGAGUGUGCUUUUAAGCCAUGAAAACCAUGCACAUCAGCCCCACCACAGAGCCUGUGUGAUUUCAUCUUAGAUGGUAUCUUGGAAGCAAGACCUACCUGGACUUUUUAGAAAUCUAAUCUAAUCAUUUUCUGUCUUGGAGUAGGGCACCUGCUCUAUGCUCACUGCUGGGAUCACACAGGGGAAUGAGUAGAGCUCUCCCUGGCCUCAGACACCCCCACUUAGUGAGAAGGUUACCUGUGGGGACAACUCCCUUGCCAGGUGAUAAUAGCUAUGAUGGAAGCACCCACAGAAUGUUUGAAAAGAUUUGGCAAAAGUGGGGCCACAGUGUUGCCUUUGGCAACAGCUAGGUGAAGCUGAUCAGCAGCCAUCCCUUUGGGUAGGUCCAUGCUCCAUUUCUCCACUGUCCUCACCAAGGCCAGACUAGGUCAGGCAAACAAGGCCCAAGAAGCCAACUUUAAGGAGGCACUCAUCUCCCAUUGCUAGCCUUGUACUUGCAAAGCCCCAAGAGUGAGUGCUUCCUUAAAACAUGCAUCCUGGGCACCUUCCUAGCCUUGCCCUAGCCCUAGUCCUGACCCUGGUCUCCAACACUCCCUACUGCCUCCCCAACAGUGAGGCCAUGUAUAAAUGGUCACAUCCUGCUUGCUCUGUUGUUUGUCUACUGCUAGAGUUAAGAGGAAUGUGAAUUUUCUGGUAUGCUUGUCUCCAUCAAAACUGAGUAAACAAAAUAUAAACCAAAAA